UACGUAGGUGGCAAGCGUUGUCCGGAUUUACUGGGUGUAAAGGGCGUGUAGCCGGGCUGACAAGUCAGAUGUGAAAUCCGGGGGCUCAACCCCCGAACUGCAUUUGAAACUGGCGGCCUCGAGUGGGCGAGAAGUAUGCGGAAUGCGUGGUGUAGCGGUGAAAUGCAUAGAUAUCACGCAGAACUCCGAUUGCGAAGGCAGCAUACCGGCGCCCGACUGACGCUGAGGCACGAAAGCGUGGGUAUCGAACAGG
rnacentral:rRNA from 1 species